CGUGGCACUUUGGAUACCGCACUCAAAUUCGACAGCCUGAACCAAGUGUCAAAAAUGAAAUGUGUUUGGCGGGUGGCCCAGGAUCCUUGAGAUAUGGGCCCACCCCAAUGUCACGUCACCUUUUGUUCACAGGGAAAUCCCAGGAGGACGCUCCAUCCUCCAGAUGGAGAAUCAUAGACUGGAGGGGCCACUAAGUGUCCUCUCCCCCAUGAGAACACCACCACGACUGCCUUCUAUGCUUUCUCAUCUCUCCCAUCCUCUUGGGUUUUAGGGCUCUGGCUGUUUGUAAUUGGCGAGUGAGAGGGCGUGCCUGUCUGGCGAAGCUAACACCGAAUCACCAAGCUCUUUUACACGUGGCCGUUGUUGGGGACCGUAUGUUGGAUUCAAGCUCCAGCUGCCUGCCAGCUCUGGCUUCAUACCCGCUGCAUACCCAUGCCGAAAGGCCCAGAUGGGAUCCAUAUGUGGCCUGGUUUGGACCAUUCCCCCCACCCCACCCCCUGCAUUGAUUUGCGGCAGCGGUCUACGUAGGGAGGAGGCCAGAUCUUGUGUUUGGGUUCUCAGGCCCGGAGGUCUUCCUCACCUGGUCUUCAUUCUCAACUGAUGGCCUUGCUUCCUAACCCACUGAGCAUCAACAUCACUCGGGAGAUCCCCCAAAAUGUAAAUUCAUCAGCCCUGCUCCAGACCUGCUACAUCAGAAUCUCUGAGGUGGAAUAGGGGAAUCUGUGCUUCAACUGGUUCUCCAAGUGAUUUUUGUGCAUGAUGAAGUUUAAGAAGCACCAAGCUGGAUCCUCUUCUCUCGCACCUGCUCAAGGAUAUCCUCUCUUGUGCAUCAGUGCACUCCCUCC